UUCCUGCUUUUGUGCCUGUCGGCGAAGAUCGUAAAACUGUGAGCCUUUCCCAACCCUUACAGGUCUCACCAACGGCGUUUCCUCAUCUAUAAAACGGGACUUAACGCCAACAUCCCUCCCAAAAGCGCAGUUGAGAGACGACCUAAUCAUGGAUACUCCUUUUGUGUGUGAGGGGCAGGGGGUCCUCAUGUAGGCCAGCCUAGCCCUCUGUAUUGGCUGAGUAGUUAAGGAGGACUUUGUGCUUCUGAUCCUCCUGCCUCCACCUCCUCUGUGUUGGGAUUACAGAAUUAAGACAUGCACCAGCCUCAAACUGGACAGGGCAGAAGCGGGUGGACCUCGGUCAAGUUCAAGGACAGCCUGGGCUAUGUGCCAGACCUGGCUCAAAUAAAUAAACCCCAUUCCUUUAGCUGCAAAAA